rnacentral:rRNA from 1 species
UACGUAGGGGGCAAACGUUGCUCGGAAUCAUUGGGCGUAAAGCGCACGUAGGCGGCUUAGCAAGUUGGAUGUGAAAUCCCUCGGCUUAACCAAGGAAGUGCAUCCAAAACUGCUGAGCUUGAGUACUUAAGAGGAUCGCGGAAUUCCCGGUGUAGAGGUGAAAUUCGUAGAUAUCGGGAGGAACACCAGUGGCGAAGGCGGCGAUCUGGGAAGAUACUGACGCUGAGGUGCGAAAGCGUGGGGAGCAAACAGG